CACCCAGUAGCUCAAUGCUCAUACGUUAGGCUUGAAACCAAAAGGUCCCGGGUUCGAAUCCUGGCUAGGGCGUGGA